rnacentral:rRNA from 1 species
GACGAACGCUGGCGGCGUGCCUAAUACAUGCAAGUAGAACGCUGAAGAGAGGAGCUUGCUCUUCUUGGAUGAGUUGCGAACGGGUGAGUAACGCGUAGGUAACCUGCCUUGUAGCGGGGGAUAACUAUUGGAAACGAUAGCUAAUACCGCAUAACAAUGGAUGACCCAUGUCAUUUAUUUGAAAGGGGCAAAUGCUCCACUACAAGAUGGACCUGCGUUGUAUUAGCUAGUAGGUGAGGUAACGGCUCACCUAGGCGACGAUACAUAGCCGACCUGAGAGGGUGAUCGGCCACACUGGGACUGAGACACGGCCCAGACUCCUACGGGAGGCAGCAGUAGGGAAUCUUCGGCAAUGGGGGCAACCCUGACCGAGCAACGCCGCGUGAGUGAAGAAGGUUUUCGGAUCGUAAAGCUCUGUUGUAAGUCAAGAACGAGUGUGAGAGUGGAAAGUUCACACUGUGACGGUAGCUUACCAGAAAGGGACGGCUAACUACGUGCCAGCAGCCGCGGUAAUACGUAGGUCCCGAGCGUUGUCCGGAUUUAUUGGGCGUAAAGCGAGCGCAGGCGGUUUGAUAAGUCUGAAGUUAAAGGCUGUGGCUCAACCAUAGUUCGCUUUGGAAACUGUCAAACUUGAGUGCAGAAGGGGAGAGUGGAAUUCCAUGUGUAGCGGUGAAAUGCGUAGAUAUAUGGAGGAACACCGGUGGCGAAAGCGGCUCUCUGGUCUGUAACUGACGCUGAGGCUCGAAAGCGUGGGGAGCGAACAGGAUUAGAUACCCUGGUAGUCCACGCCGUAAACGAUGAGUGCUAGGUGUUGGAUCCUUUCCGGGAUUCAGUGCCGCAGCUAACGCAUUAAGCACUCCGCCUGGGGAGUACGACCGCAAGGUUGAAACUCAAAGGAAUUGACGGGGGCCCGCACAAGCGGUGGAGCAUGUGGUUUAAUUCGAAGCAACGCGAAGAACCUUACCAGGUCUUGACAUCCCGAUGCUAUUUCUAGAGAUAGAAAGUUACUUCGGUACAUCGGUGACAGGUGGUGCAUGGUUGUCGUCAGCUCGUGUCGUGAGAUGUUGGGUUAAGUCCCGCAACGAGCGCAACCCCUAUUGUUAGUUGCCAUCAUUCAGUUGGGCACUCUAGCGAGACUGCCGGUAAUAAACCGGAGGAAGGUGGGGAUGACGUCAAAUCAUCAUGCCCCUUAUGACCUGGGCUACACACGUGCUACAAUGGUUGGUACAACGAGUUGCGAGUCGGUGACGGCAAGCUAAUCUCUUAAAGCCAAUCUCAGUUCGGAUUGUAGGCUGCAACUCGCCUACAUGAAGUCGGAAUCGCUAGUAAUCGCGGAUCAGCACGCCGCGGUGAAUACGUUCCCGGGCCU